CGAACCAUCUAGUAGCUGGU
rnacentral:ncRNA from 2 species